rnacentral:rRNA from 1 species
GAGUUUGAUCAUGGCUCAGGACGAACGCUGGCGGCGUGCUUAACACAUGCAAGUCGAACGCGUGUAGCAAUACACGAGUGGCGCACGGGUGAGUAACACGUGGAUAUCUGCCUUUUGGUUCGGAAUAACCCUGGGAAACUAGGGCUAAUACCGGAUGGUUCCUACGGGAUAAAGAUUUAUCGCCAAAAGAUGAGUCCGCGUCCGAUUAGCUAGUUGGUGAGGUAAUGGCUCACCAAGGCGACGAUCGGUAGCUGGUCUGAGAGGACGAUCAGCCACACUGGGACUGAGACACGGCCCAGACUCCUACGGGAGGCAGCAGUGGGGAAUAUUGGACAAUGGGGGCAACCCUGAUCCAGCCAUGCCGCGUGAGUGAUGAAGGCCUUC